rnacentral:rRNA from 1 species
CAGUAGCCGCGGUAAUACGUAUGGAGCGAGCGUUGUCCGGAAUUAUUGGGCGUAAAGGGUACGCAGGCGGUUUCUUAAGUCUGAUGUGAAAGCCCCCGGCUCAACCGGGGAGGGUCAUUGGAAACUGGGAAACUUGAGUGCAGAAGAGGAGAGUGGAAUUCCACGUGUAGCGGUGAAAUGCGUAGAGAUGUGGAGGAACACCAGUGGCGAAGGCGACUCUCUGGUCUGUAACUGACGCUGAGGAGCGAAAGCGUGGGGAGCGAACAGGAUUAGAUACCCCUGUAGUCCCUGUCUCUUAUAC